UUCAGAACCUCGUUAUGAUUUGUGAGUUUGGGGUGAUUAUACACACGUUUUUAGUAUCAUCGUGCAAAAUAAUGAAUCAUUUGUAAUUUUCAUUUGCUGCUAAAACAUUCUUCUAUAUUACAUUCUAUACUCUACUAUGACGCAUCCUCCGGAACAUCUUUAUGUUCGAGCAUGGAGUUUGGAGGAGAAGGAUGAACCACGAGCUUGCUGAUCUGUACGGCAAAUCGAGUAUCCUGACGGUGGUAUUAGGCGCAUGGGAGUACUGCGAACGCGAUGGCUGGAUCAGGUGAAGCGAGACCUGUCGGAGAUCGUGUGUCUACAUGGAUGAGAGGCUGCAGCCAGGGUCCGAGCAUCCUGGAGAAUGAUGAUUGACCGAGCCAUGUCACUUCGACGUGCUCUAUCGUGAGCAGGCCAACAAUAGAGAGUUCAUUAAGUUCAUAUGCAAGAAGAUAGGUAAUGAAGCAGGAGAGCGCAUUUGAGUGGCAAGGUUUGAUUUCUGUUUAGCCCGACAGAUUUAUAAUUUCUUGGAUAUUUUCGCUAAUCUCUGCAUAGCAUAGAAGAAGUCCGUACCACAUAUUACUAGUUCAUAACGGAAUGGUCUUAGAUUCAUAGCGGUGCCAUUAUACAUAAAUGGUGGUAAAUGUCGAAGAAUAUGUGUAUAGUAAGGACCAGUGGUAUAUUUAUUUUGCUUAGUGUGUAGGUUGUAUAUUUGUUGAUGGAAAAGUAUUCGUAUACCCAAUCCCGUUAUCUUUCACGAAAGUUCGCGUGCUAAACAAAGAUUGUUCAUACUUUAGUGAAAUGUGUAUUCAAAGCGCAGUUGUUUAUUCAGAAAAUAAAAAGCACUUGCAUGAGGAACUUCAGGCGGUAAAAUGUACUUACUUCAAAUGUACUUACCCAUGUAAUGGAGACUAACGCUUGUAGUCUGAAAGAAUACUGUCAAUUUGAGGCAAUAAAAGCAUGGAUCUGUAAUGCUAUUUAGUGGAAA